GCCGGGGCGGUAGCGGUGCCCUGUACUUGCAAUCCGCUAUAGCAAGGGUUAUAUCUCUAUUGAGGGUCAUACUUUCCGUGUAGUACCUUUUGAGCAAUGUUGAGGAGUGGGUCUUGCGCAAUAUGCGCCUGUGAACCUGGUCAGGUGAGGAAUCAAGCAGCCAUAAGCAGUGAUUGCAUAUGUGCCGCGAGAGUGCCCGCUCUGAGUUGUCUCAAUUGAUAAACGCCCGGGGAGCAUGAUUCG
rnacentral:SRP_RNA from 1 species